UCCCAGGACCCCAGGAUCACAACCUGAGACGAAGGCAGAUGCUCAACCAUGGAGCCGCACAGAUCUUAUCAACAGGACCAUGACCCAAUGAGAAGGUUAUGUCAACUGGCAAGUAUGUCAAUCCCAGCUAUACAUUUGAGGACAAGGGAAAUGAUGACCACAUGCAGAAUGGAUGUAGAACAGACUGCACUGAUGCACUUCCUGACUUGAAGAGGAAAGCAAACACUUUUUAUAGAUGCUGGCAUACCUCUCUCCAGCACAUUCCUAAUGACAUUGCUGAAUGGUGGUGCAUUCUGGACCCUCCUAUGGAACAGAAUCCUGUGGUGGGUAUUCCGGCCUCAUAGUCUGGCCAGCAAGCCUACUUCCCUGAGCCUUUUAAUCCCUUUUUCCACUGUCUGUCUCAGCAACUCGUGCCUUUUUACUUGGCACAAUGUGGUCCAGUACUUUCUAAGAACCAUCUAGCAGCAUGCUACUGCAACCUUAGGAUCCCUGCCAUACCCCAGUUAGAGCUCCCAAGUAAAUAAAUUCUCAUUGAUAAAUGAGAGAGUUUGAUCAAACUCUCAAAAUCUGUUACAAUGGAUAUGCCCCAUAUUCUUGUUAAUACAAGCUAGAUAAUUCUUGCAAUUCCUUUGGGAUCUAAUAUUGACUCUGUAGGGGUAGAGAGUACAGGGCUGUAGGGGCCAAGGGCAGGUAGCCCAAAGAUAGGCUACUUUGGCAUGAACAUUAUUUUGAGUUGAAAGCAAUAAAAACCCAGCAGAUUAAGGAAAAGCUAUUUACCUCCAUCCCUCUCCCCCCAACUGCCUGAUUAUUCCAGGAAGAGAGCUAUUAACAGAGAUUCCUCUUUACUAAGAAACUUCUCUGCAUAACAGGGUGUUUGUUUUCCAAACAUUUCCUUUCAUUUUCCUGCUAAUAUUCUCCCUCCCUUUUGUACCUUUGGACCCUACCCCUCUCCUUAGCUCCUGUGUUAUGUUGCUUCACUGUCCUUGGAAUUUCCAGAUCUGUGUGGA